rnacentral:rRNA from 1 species
UACCUCCUAGGGAGGCAGCAGUGAGGAAUAUUGGUCAAUGGGCGCGAGCCUGAACCAGCCAAGUCGCGUGAGGGAUGACGGCCCUACGGGUUGUAAACCUCUUUUGCCGGGGAGCAACGGGCGCCACGUGUGGCGCCACUGAGAGUACCCGGAGAAAAAGCAUCGGCUAACUCCGUGCCAGCAGCCGCGGUAAUACGGAGGAUGCGAGCGUUAUCCGGAUUUAUUGGGUUUAAAGGGUGCGUAGGCGGAUCGUUAAGUCAGUGGUCAAAUUGAGGGGCUCAACCCCUUCCCGCCAUUGAAACUGG